GUAGGGGUAGGAAACUACGCGCAACGCUCCCUCGGAACGGAAUGUGAACGAUGGAGGAGUGGUCAAAGUCAUGUGACCGACGUGUUUUUUCCGCAUUCACCAAU
rnacentral:ncRNA from 1 species